UGUGAGUCAUGAGUACUGGAGGUGAGG
rnacentral:piRNA from 1 species